CCUCCCCAUCAUUCGUUGCCACCGCCCAUCACACUUCCUCCCUAACCACUCUCUUUUUCUGAAGUAAGGAGUCCUUGUUUUUCAAAAUAAUAACUUUGGCUUAGGGGUUGCCCCUUGGCUCCUCCUACAGCUAUGAAAAACACUUUCGAUCUCAAAAUCUAUCUAAUUGGCAUUACUUAGACUUAAAGGUGGGUUCGGAUGGGCGAUUGGGUGCGAUGUGUUUAGUUUACUUUUUGUGUCACAUUAUAGUAUCGCUAUAGUAUCUAAUUUCACCGCCACCGCUGUUUUUACACUAACCGUAGAUAAACACACUGCCCAUCUAAACUUACCCUUAAAUACUUUUGAACAUAGACUAAGGGCCAUUCAGCCUCCAUUUUUUUCCAUCUG
rnacentral:lncRNA from 1 species